GUCAGUUUAUACAUUCAUCUGAUCACUAGAGGGAGUGAAGAAUCACUUCAGUUCAUUCAAACUGUGCUGUGAAACAAACCAUGAUCUCUUCAUCUUUACUGUUGCUUCUGGCAGUGAUAUCCUGUAUUGAUUCAUAUGAACUCACUCAGCCUGAGUCUCUGACUGUCCGUCCUGAUGCCACUCUCACUAUCAACUGUAAAGUCUCAUAUUCAGUUACAAGUGAGGAAACAGCCUGGAUUCGUCAGCCUGCAGGAAAAGCUCUGGAGUGGAUUGGAGUGAUCUGGAGUGAUGGAAGCUUAGACUACAAGGAUUCACUGAAAAGCAAGUUCAGUAUCACCAGAGACACUUCCAGUAACACAAUAACACUGCAAGGAAAGAAUAUGAAAGCUGAAGACACAGCUGUGUAUUAUUGUGCCAAACACAGUGACAGACACCAACAGACUCCCUGUACAAAAACAUCAUCAUCAUAUUACAAAUUAAAAAUGUUUCUGAUGAUUUUCCUCAGUAUGAUUUUUACAGACACAGAAAUUGUUCAAAGCUCAUCAAAACAUUAUGGGCAUUAAUGCAGCUGGAAAAACUAAAACAAAC